UCCUCAUUUCACGUGCUCUCUCGCCGGUCAGAGAGGCGAGAGAGUGUGUGAAAUGAAGAGA
rnacentral:pre_miRNA from 1 species